rnacentral:lncRNA from 1 species
CUGGUGGCUCCCCUUAAGUGACUACCUUCCUCCCUGCUUCAUCUCUGUCCAGGAUCCUAGGAGCCUCCAAACCAGAUAGGAGAUGGAAGAGGAACCUCAGAGAAGUACCUCUAAACCUCUACCAUGGGACUUGACUCACGGAAGCCUCCAACCCUAUGCACAGACAGAAGAAGAAUUUGCACUUGCAGUGUCUUAUAGAAAUGCUGUGUAUACAGAGGAG